rnacentral:tRNA from 1 species
UGUUUUGUGGCUUAGUUGGUUAAAGCGCCGGUCUAGCGAAUACGGAGUCGUGGGUUCAAAUCCCACCAGAACGC